rnacentral:tRNA from 1 species
CCCAUAGCUCAGUUGGUAGAGCCCCCGGCUCAUAACCGGAUGGUCGGAGGUUCGAAUCCUCCUGGGCC